AUUACCCAAUACGGACACCGUGAGGUAGUGACAAGAAAUAACAAUACAGGGCUUUCGUCUUGUAAUUGGAAUGAUGGUGAUGUACAACCUCACCAGAGUACCAAUUGGAGGGCAAGUCUGGUGCCAGCAGCCGCGGUAAUUCCAGCUCCAAUAGCGUAUAUUAAACUUGUUGCAGUUAAAAAGCUCGUAGUUGUAUUUCAGCCUCGCGUUUUUUCCCUCUUUUCGGGUCUUUUCGCUGGCUUUGUUUUUACUUUGAGAAAAUUAGAGUGUUUCAAGCAGACUUUUGUCUUGAAUACUUCAGCAUGGAAUAAUAGAGUAGGACCUUGGUUCUAUUUUGUUGGUUUCGAGCCUUGGUAAUGGUUAAUAGGAACGGUUGGGGGCAUUCGUAUUUAA
rnacentral:rRNA from 1 species